GAUGAACGCUGGCGGCGUGCUUAACACAUGCAAGUCGAACGGAAAGGCCCUGCUUUUGUGUGGUUCUCGAGUGGCGAACGGGUGAGAAACACGUAAGUAACCCGCCCUUGACUUUGGGAUAACUUCAGGAAACUGGGGAUAAUACCGGAUAGGAGCUCCUGCUGCAUGGGGGGGGUUGGAAAGUUUCGGCGGUUGUGGAUCGACUCGCGGCUUACCAGCUUGUUGGUGGGGUAGUUGCUUACCCAGGCUUUGACGGGUAGCCGGCCUGGGAGGGGGAACGGGCACAUUGGGACUAAGGGAGGGACCAGAAGGCAACGGGAGGCAGCAGUGGGAAAUCUUGCACAGUGGGGGCGCGUGUGAUACAGCAGCCCUCCGAGCGGGAUGACGGCUUUCGGGUUGUGAACCGCUUUCGCCUGUGACGAAGCGUGAGUGACGGUAACGAGUAAAGAAGCACCGGCUAACUACGUG
rnacentral:rRNA from 1 species